GCAUUUGUGGUUCAGUGGUAGAAUUCAUCGUUGCCACAAGUACCCGGUAACGGUUACAGCGUAAGCUCGAUGAGGCCCGGAUUCGAUUUCCGGCAGAUGCA